rnacentral:rRNA from 1 species
CAUGGCUGUCGUCAGCUCGUGUCGUGAGAUGUGGUUAAGUCCGCACGAGCGCAACCCUUGUCAUUAGUUGCUACAUUCAGUUGGGCACUCUAAUGAGACUGCCGGUGACAAGCCGGAGGAAGGUGGGGAUGACGUCAAGUCCUCAUGGCCCUUAUAGGUGGGGCUACACACGUCAUACAAUGGCUGGUACAAAGGGUUGCCAACCCGCGAGGGGGAGCCAAUCCCAGAAAGCCGAUCGUAGUCCGGAUUGUUCUCUGCAACUCGAGAGCAUGAAGUCGGAAUCGCUAGUAAUCGCGGAUCAGCAUGUCGCGGUGAAUACGUUCCCGGGUCUU